GGCUUGUUGGUCUAGCGGUAGGAUUCUCGCUUUGGGUGCGAGAGGUCCUAGGUUCAACUCCUGGAUGAGCCC